UACGGAGGAUGCAAGCGUUAUCCGGAAUGAUUGGGCGUAAAGCGUCCGCAGGUGGCUGUGUAAGUCUGCUGUCAAAGAGCAAAGCUCAACUUUGUAAAGGCAGUGGAAACUACACGGCUAGAGUGCGUUCGGGGCAGAGGGAAUUCCUGGUGUAGCGGUGAAAUGCGUAGAUAUCGAGAGGAACACCUGCGGCGAAGGCGGGUUGCUGGGCUGAUACUGACGCUGAGGCGCGAAAGCCAGGGGAGCGAACGGG
rnacentral:rRNA from 1 species